UACCUACGGGGGGCAGCAGUAGGGAAUCUUCCACAAUGGACGAAAGUCUGAUGGAGCAACGCCGCGUGAGUGAAGAAGUAUUUCGGUAUGUAAAGCUCUAUCAGCAGGGAAGAGAAUGACGGUACCUGACUAAGAAGCCCCGGCUAACUACGUGCCAGCAGCCGCGGUAAUACGUAGGGGGCGAGCGUUAUCCGGAUUUACUGGGUGUAAAGGGAGCGUAGACGGCUGGUCAAGUCUGAAGUGAAAGCCCGGGGCUUAACCCCGGAACGGCUUUGGAAACUGAGCAGCUAGAGUGCUGGAGAGGG
rnacentral:rRNA from 1 species